UUGGAGGGCAAGUCUGGUGCCAGCAGCCGCGGUAAUUCCAGCUCCAAUAGCGUAUAUUAAAGUUGUUGCAGUUAAAAAGCUCGUAGUUGAAUUUCGAGACCGGCUUACUGGUCGUGCUAUUGUACGUACUGGUAUAAUCGGUUUCUCCUUUCUGACGAACUUUAAUGCCAUUAAUUUGGUGUUUUAGGGAAUCAGGACUGUUACUUUGAAAAAAUUAGAGUGUUUAAAGCAGGCUCACGCUUGAAUACAUUAGCAUGGAAUAACGGAAUAGGACGUUUGAUUCUAUUUUGUUGGUUUCUAGGAUCGACGUAAUGAUUAAUAGGGAUAGUCGGGGGCAUUAGUAUUCAAUUGUCAGAGGUGAAAUUCUUGGAUUUACUGAAGACUAACUACUGCGAAAGCAUUUGCCAAGGAUGUUUUCAUUAAUCAAGAACGAAAGUUAGGGGAUCGAAGACGAUCAGAUACCGUCGUAGUCUUAACCAUAAACUAUGCCGACUAGGGAUCGGAUGAUGUUAAUUUUUUAAUGACUCAUUCGGCGCCUUACGGGAAAC
rnacentral:rRNA from 1 species